UACGUAGGUGGCAAGCGUUAUCCGGAAUUAUUGGGCGUAAAGAGCGCGCAGGUGGUUAAUUAAGUCUGAUGUGAAAGCCCACGGCUUAACCGUGGAGGGUCAUUGGAAACUGGUUGACUUGAGUGCAGAAGAGGGAAGUGGGAUUCCAUGUGUAGCGGUGAAAUGCGUAGAGAUAUGGAGGAACACCAGUGGCGAAGGCGGCUUCCUGGUCUGCAACUGACACUGAGGCGCGAAAGCGUGGGGAGCAAGCAGG
rnacentral:rRNA from 1 species